UUUACUUUUACAAGAAAUCAUCAACAGAAAUAAAGCACAGAAAAGGGAACAGAUUGAAUUCAGUAGUUAUUUAAUAGAUUUAAAUGAUCUAAUUAACAAUAGCCUGAACAGCAGAAUUUUAGGGCUUUAUUUUAAAAUUGCAUGCCCCAUUUACAGUGUGUAUAAUCUUGCAUACUUAUUCACACUUAAUUUUUUUUCCAUCCAUUAGCUCUUGGUUGCAACUGACUCCCAGUCCUUGGACUCCCACCCACUUCAUAAUUAAGUGCCCUACCUGAAAAGAAGAAUAGAUAUACAUCAGAGGAAACCGCGUCCAUCUUCCCUAGUGGAGAACAUCAUGAUGUUCUGCAGUGACUGCACUGGGCUAGGAAAAGAAAUGACUGCUGCUGGUAAGUGAACAGAAAAACAGAAGAGUGACUAACUAGGUCUGCAACAGGGAUAACAUCUCACUUUGCUUGGAACAGUACUGCAGCAGAACCCUGCAGUAUAGGAGCAGAAGUCUACUUCAUUAAAUACUGUAUGAUUAUAUGAAGUGUUAAAACACAGAAAUCACUACCAACUAUACUACCCAUCAUAACAUGCUCAGUUUGGACUUUGAGCUACCUUCAAAACUUUUUUAUUUUUAAUUAUUUUUUUAAAUAUAACAGUUCUGCCCAACACCAGAAUGGAUGAAGUAUAUAGCAGCUUUUGUGAACACACACUGUGUUUGAAAACUAUGUUAUGUAUAUUUUAAUUUGGAGGUCAAAUUCUGUGGGUUCCCCUUAUUUAGGUUGUGCCAGCCCAUGGAAUCAACUAAAGUAACAUGGAUUUGGCCAUACAUCAGAGCAGGAAAGCAUACCGCAAAGAACCAUGGUUUUAUGUCUGUGCAGUUAUGCCACAUUCUCACCUUUAUGAGGCAUGGCUUGCAGCCAUGCAGAGGGAAGAAUGUGUGGAAAUCAGGAACCCAUGGAAAUAUUCUUCUAAACCCAUAGAGCUGAUGCCAUUUGAGCAUAAACAUUAACAUUCUAAUCUAAAACGUUUUAUUCUUUACUGAAACUGACGUUAAGUGCAGUGAAUAACAUAAUCACUGAACAAUCCCAUGUGAUGGCGAAUGCUGUUGUUUUCAACAAAGACAAAACCAAAAGUAUAGACACUUACCUUCCUUCCCUCCUUUCUUUUUGCACUUUUUCAGUUCUUUCCUUCUCUUCCCUCAUUCUCCCUUGUUCUAAUUUUUUACAGAGGAAAAGAAAAUAAAAUGUUGAAACAGCAAAAGAAAUCUUUAAAGAAAUUGAUAUUUUGAAAGGUAAAUGUUAAAUAAAAUUGUGAGAAGAGCUUUUCACCAGCUCAGAAUAAUGGGUCUUAUUGUACUGCUCUUUCUGUGAACUCCUCAAACCUGUGGCCCUGGGAUGGUGACACAGAUUCCCUGCAAUCUGCAGAGGAACUGCCAGUGCACUAUUCAGUGAUAAUAUUGAUAGCAUCUCACCUUGCUUGCUUCACACAGAUCACUUUUCCCAAUUUUCUGCCUGCCUUGAAAAGUAUGUGCUCUUUCCUUGUCACCUCCCCCUGUGCCGGUAGGCGUGGGACUCAGCAUGUGUACAUGUUAGACAGACCUUUCUUCCAACAAUCUGUCUUUCUUUUUACUCCUUUCACCUGGACCUGCAGUCAUACUAUUAAUAUAAUGGCUCCUUUUGUGCAGUAUGACGCAAAGGAAUUUCAGGGCUUGGAUUUAUUUCUCAACAAGUCAGAAACAGUUUUUUAAACACUGCCAUUUAUUUCCCAGAAGCACUGAAUCAUCUUUGGGGCUGCGGUGCCGUGAAUUAUGCCUCAGAAUGCAUACAAAAUGGUGUCUUUCGUGGAAGGUUGGCUCAAUUAUUAGCAUAUCAUCAGAGUGAAAAUGUGUGUGAGGUGGCAAAUUCUCAUGAACAUGAAUUCCAGAUUUGGUCUGUCUUGAUAAGAAGUGGAUAGGAGAACAGGAGGAAAUGGCACUGAUGCUUCAAAACAGCUAGAGGCUGGAAAGUGUGGGGGGAAAAAGAAUCUGCAAUAUUGCAGACAUAUGGCUGCAACAUGACUGACUUCAAGAAAGAUAACACCUAAUGGCAAUGUGUUAUCAAACCAAAAAGAAGAAAAAUAAGUUGUUCACUGUCUCUUCCUUCUCUGAGCAUGAGUUCCAGAGGGUUCUCUCUGACCUGACAGCCAAGAUGUGAAUCUUCGUCAGCCCAUAGCUACUGCCUAGUCAGUACUGCUUCCAACACUCCCAGCCUCAUGACCCCAGCAGGCAGGGUAGACUUUGUAACACUGUGGGGAGUGCUGUCAUCCACAGAGGUGGAGUUUUGCCUUCCCACAGCUGGAGUGGAGCGAUGCCCAGCAGGAACCACGCUGGGCUGCUCUCCAGUGCUCAGAAACUCUGCCCUUAAUGCAAGAAGUGAGAGCUUCCAAAGCCCAGAGGAUGCUACUGUGCUCCCUGAGGCUGAGCCCCUCUCCCACUCUGUGUUGUAUUUUGGAAACAAUCACGAUCACCGAUGCCUUCUCUUUCCAGACAAGUGCCAGGAAGAAGUUUUCUUUCCGUGUUCCAACGCAUGAUUAAAGACAUGCUUUUAGCAACAGGGCACACACCGGAUUUUCUCCACCCAGCAAUAGCAAAAUAACUUCAGCUCCUGAGAGUUUCUUAUCCCCUCGUUGUUUAUAAUAAUAUCCCUAACACUAUUACGCUGUGUUUACCCAGCUCCUAAACACAGAUAUAAAAGGCAGGGUGAGCGGGAUCAUCUCUCUAUUGACGUCAUCAGGGGAUGCAAUAAUUUUCACUACGACUGAAUUUUAUCCAAAAUUUGUGCUAAAAAUGACUGUAUAAACAUUUGCUUUUUUAAAAGCAGUAAAUAUACGUCAGUCUGCAUCUCUGCAGGAAAUGAAAAAGUUAUUUCAUAUUUGGUUUUCUACUUAGGAGCCACAAGCACACCCUUCAAUAAUAUAGGCUAUCCUUGUAAACACCGGAGUUACUUUUUUGAGGUGAAGGAGUGCAAAAAUGAAUUCUCUAUUUUGCAGCUCUUCUGUCAUUUAAAAAUUAUCCGAAGCUGCUUUCCAGUUUGACACAUUUCUGUGCCUCAUUGCAGUCCUGAAUGAAUUUUUAUGAGUAAGUUAUACACCCCAAAUAGAGGACUUAGAAUGGAGGUAUUAACCUAGAGGUGUGAAUUGUGUUUCCAUGAUAUACUACAAGUUAACAUUCCUGCCUUUUCAUAACUUUCUGUUGCUGUUUGGGAAAAGCUAUAUCACAAUUUGCUAAACUUUGAGCAACACUAAUUCAAUCAUUUGAAUGAAAAGUAUUUUCUAAACAUUUUGCCAGCUCCACAGGGGCCAAGACUUUCUCUUUUGGGAACCUUUUGUGUAAGUACGAGGUUCCUUCAUAUUUCCAAGUGCUAUAGAAGAGCUGGCAGGAAAGUGAGAAUUCCUCUGCGUAAAGCAUUAAGAUCUUUUGAAACUUCUUUUUGCUCCCCAUGAGAAUUAAAUUAAGUCCUUACCCAUUAAAGAAAGAGAGAGAGAGAGCAGCACAGAUUAGUCAAUGGCAAUCCGGGCAGCUCUCUCAAAAGUGAGAGAUUGCAGUUCAGCUUUCACCUGUGGAUCAUGAAGUACCUUGGUUUGCCUAUAGCAGGAUGUUGGAAGGAAAAGCGCUUACUAUUUUAGUUCCAAAAUCCCUCUCAGUAUGUGAGAAACUUUCCUAGAAAAAGUUUUGAUAACUGUUAAUUUUUGUGCAAAGCUUUGGUGUCAGUGGUGACAAUGGCAUUGCAAGAAAUUCCAGUGUAUGCAAACUGUAUGAGAAGCUCAGCUUCUUUGUUGGCUUUCCUUAAUCCUUGUGAAGCCUACCUGAGAAGUCUAGAAGUAACUUGAUUACUGCCCUGUAUUUAUGUUUCAAUUCUUUUCCACUUCCUGUUUUUUCACACAUUCUAUAUCUUUUUUCUUUUUCUUUUUUUUUUCUCCAAAUCUUUUCUAAUUUUUUACUGAAAACCUAAAGCAGGGCUCCCACAAAACCAUUCAUCUCCAGAAACAUCAGCUCAGCACUGAGGCUCUCUACAGCAAAAGGACAAAGUAAUUCCUACUCUUAAAUGCUUUGUAGUACUGGGGGCCUUUGAGGCUGACCCUGCAACCCUUAUACAUACAAGUAGUCCUUGUUGUCCUUAUAUAAGUAAGAGUUAACUGCUCGUGUGUGUAAAGGUUGCAAGGUGAGUCCCUAUGAAUAUCAUUAUCCCAAGUAUAAUAACUGUUUUGCUGAAACUCUUGGGUUAUCUUUUAUAAACGAACCCAUAUUACUCAAUGGAGAAUUCUGGAGAGGGAAAAAGAAAGAAGUUAAUGUUGCGUUUUGAAGGCAGGCAGAGGUCACAUGAAAAUUGCCCAAGAUUUUUGAUUGAGUAAUGUACUUUGGAAUAAGUCGCUGUGAUUCUUUGGCAGAACACUGUUUAUUGUUCAAGUGAAAUUUUUCACAGUUAAUAAGAUGGUCAGUUGCAGGUAUUGAAAAUAUUUGCCCUGCCAAAUACCACAAGAGUGAAAACCGUCAUGCUGGUUGAAUAAUGAAACAGAAAUCAUUCCAGCAAACUGCCUGACAGCUGGGGGAGAAAUUCCCAGCACAUUAUCUGACCAAAAAAAAAGUAACUGUUUUAUUGAUUAAAAACAAAACAUUAACAACAACUAUAUAUAUAUAUAUAUAUGUAUGUAUGUAUAUAAUCUCCCCAAAAAACAAAAGAACCCAACCCAGAAACACUUAUUUCUGACUAUUUUCCUAAGAGAAUUGCCAAAAGAUUUUGAUUCUAUUAUUUGCAAAGAAGUUUGACUAUCAC
rnacentral:lncRNA from 1 species